UCAUUUCGACCGUAUACAAAGAUAUAUGUCCCACGUGACAUUAUAUUGGAUUUAAUAAAUAAAAAAGUAGAAAUACAUUGACUAAAAUUUGUAGGAGUUCCCAUUUUGAUGGAAUAUGGGUGAUAAUGUUUUAAAACAAUUUUUAUGCGGAUAAAUGUUGAAGCAGUCUCUUUACUGCAUAGCAAAUGGCAUAGCUUUUGCAUGCAAUGAAGUGACCUUCAAUACCUAUAGUGAAUCGGAGAAGCAUUUCAAUAACUAUAAUAUACUCAAACGGAACACGAGAAUGCAACAGUAGAAACAAUUGGCAAUUGAAAUUGUUGCAUCACAUAAGUAUUGUUGCAUCACAUAAGUAGUGUUCAAGGAUGGCUUGAUGGUACUGCUUCCUUUUAUUUUUUCGUAAUCAUAUCCAAGAAAAAGAGCCCACUUUCUCUGCUAGUGCUACAUCAGGAUUUGUGAUGAAAAACUGGAAAAGAUACUCGAUUAACCAAAGUUCAAGAUUAAAUGUAACAACAAAUAUAUAAAAUUUCAAUGAGUAGGACUGACGAUGUAUACAACAUAUAUGUAACUGAUGCGCUUAUAUAGUGAACGUAGAUUUUAACAUGUGAUCUAGAAAAAACUACCAAUUAUUAUGUCACUCAACAAACAACGAAAAUCAUAGUCCUGUAUUCAAGUUCUAAAAGAACAUGACAUACUAUUCUAAAACUUUCUGAAGCGCAUAAAUGCAGGUAAAAAAUGAAAUGCCAUUGAUAUAGUUAAUUUGAGACAAAGCAUAAGGCUACACGGCUUAUUUUUACAUUAUUUUACUGGUUUGUAACCAAUGCCAGAAUGCACCACAAAUAUAUCCUUGCGGUUAAGGUAACAACAUGGGGGUUCAAGCUCAACUCACCUCUCUACACAUUUAUCCUCCUAUAUUAUUUUAGGUACCAAAUUUAGUCAUUCUUUAUAACGAUCAUGCUGCAUAGACUUGCAAGAAAUAGAACUCCUCAACUGAAAGUUGUUUUUAGAGACCAAAAUAAUAAAUAUCACUACAUAACUAUGAUUUUGAGGUCUAUUACAUAAUCCUAUUCUUACUAUUUGAUAUAGCAAUUACAUUUAGAAGAGCAUAAUUAAGUUAGCUAAAAGUUUGAAUCGCUUGAACUUUUAAAGAUUAAGAAGAUGAAUGGACAACCAUUAGUACUCCACACAACUUGUGAGCGAGAAGUCGGGACGCGUAGGUAUAAGGCAAUGAUAAGUUAUAAUAAAAAAUAAAUAAAUCACCUAUGGGAAAAUAUUUGCGCAAAAAAUUACCACCUGCUGUGACAUCUCGAUUCUACAUAGAAUCUGCAAAAAGAAGCAAAUGUAACUUUCUUCUUUUAAAGUAUCAUUCAACAUUUAAAUUCUCAAAGGAUAAGCAUAAUGCUUUGUCUCCUAUAUGAAAAAUCACCCACUUCCAACCUCUAAAGUCCCACCCAAGCAAAAAGAAAAAGAGAAGUCAUAGAAAAAUAUUUACCCCACUUUUCUACAUAUAUAAGUGUCUGUAUGUGUGUGUGUGUGAGAGAUAGAGAAAUAGAUAGAGAGAGAAGCUUCACUAUUUGACCAUGAAAACAAAAACUACUCUAUCACUACUUGCUAACUUAAGGAUCUUUUACAAGUGCACAUUUAUUCCAAGAAGUUCAUAUAGUAAAUGCACACAUGUACAAUUAUGCACAAACUUCAUUUAACGAAUGCACUGCAUUAUAAAGCAACUCACUUUAAUGCUUACCUUCCGCUGCCAAGAAGAAAUGCACCAUAGACCUGACGUGAGCCUAUAUCUAGAAAUUUCAAAUUGCAUCAAGAAAAUAAAAGUUUUGAAUGAACUCUACUUAACAAGUUGUAUUAAUCCUUCAACAUAUCGUUCGAUUACGAGUUAAAGAGCAUACAAUUGUAUACAGAAUUAUACAGAAGACUUCAGAAAAUCAUGACAACUAUGUAUCAAGCAUUGCAGCCAUUUUCUACUGUAUUUGUGCAGAGGUAAUUUUCAUGGGCAAUCACAGUACUCUCUUAAUUAAUAAAUUCUUAGGGAGAUAAGGUUUAUGACACUUCAUAUCAAUAAAUUCUUCUUUUUAUAUUAAAAAAAGAUUGACAUUACAACACCCAAGUUGCUUAAUCUUUGAAUGGAUAGAGAUGCUUCGUACAAACACCAAGGUAUAGAAUAACUCUAUAUUAUAAAUUAAAAAUAAAUGAAUUAUAUAAUCCAAAAGAACUUAUAACUAAAGUUUUGCUUCAAAAAAUUUGUAAUUGUCGCCAUACUACAACUUACUACCUCAGUGUUAAUAGACAGAGGAUAUCCAAGUCAUGAAUUAUAAAACAAAAUAUUCAUGAAAAGUUAAAUAUAUGCGUAAUGAAGUACUACACUUUCAAUUACUCUUCUGUGCUUUUAAUUUUUGCUUUUUGCCCGUGCAGUUUCCCUAUUGUUUUAACCUCAUUUUCUUGUCAUACACUUAUAUUAUUUCAACUUGAUCAUUUAAGGCCAAGUGAGACUUUAUUUCUUUCCUUUCUACGUGAAAACAAAAUAUGGAAACAAAAACAGAUGUGGAAACAAAAACUUUAAUAAAAUAAAACCAAAGGAAAAAGAAGGGAGCAGUGUCCCAAGAGUUUGGACUGAAGCUAAAACAACUUUCGAUCUUUCCUGCACAUCCAAUUUGUAGAGGCCUUUUAGAUCUCUUCAUUUUAAUCUUUCUAGUGGCAUAUUCAUGAAACACCAGGAAUAGUUAAAUAAUCUAAAAAAUCUUUUUUUUUUCUUUGAGCGAAAAUACACAAAAUUUGCUUCGAUAGAAUUUUUAUAUGACAUGCAUCCUUUCUAUAAGGAGAUAUCAGACUUGAAAUGCAAAUUAAUCCAACAUAUGCAAAGAGCUUUGAAACUUCCCCAAAAACAUUUGAUCCUACACACACCAAAGUGCACACCAUCGAGAAAGGGUCAUAUCUAACGAAUGCGAAAAUACCAAAAAAAAAAAAAAAAAAAAAAAAAAGAAUAAUCACUCCCAGGAAAAUUUGAGGAUAACAGAUAGCCUCACACUCAACUCCAAAGAAAAACAUGAAUUUCCACAAGGCUGAAAGCUAUUCCCACCCAAAAUAUUGCAUGCCUCGACUUUUAACAUAAAGGAAAGACCAAGUAUAUAUGGACACAAUGAAAUAGUGGAUAUAACCCUCACGUUUUCCUCAUCCAUGUUUUCACCCACCUCCAUCGUAUGAAUUUAACCAUUCAUGCUCCAAGAGGUUCUUGAAAGAAAUCUUUGAGUACUAUGGUUCAUGUACAAUUUUAGUUCAAUUGCCAAUUGCAAUCUUUCAAAGUUUCUUUCUGGGAAAUUGUAAUUCAUCUUUUACAGCUUUUGAAAUUUAUUCACUAAUCACAAUAAGAUUUAUUCACUAAUCACAAUAAGAUUUAGACAACUUGACCAGCUCACUUUUAAUCACAAUAAGAUUUAUUCACUAACUAUGCUGAAAACUCUACUAAAAAUAUUGCAAACCAAAUUCAUCAAAAUCUAAAGGUCAAUGGUCAUCACCUCAAUGUAAAUGCCUGAAAGCUUAGAAAAUUAAUCUUUCCAAUUUAACAUGCCACUGCAAAUCGACAUGUCACUAGGUACGAGAACAUUUCAUCAAGAAUAGAACGAGGGAAGGAAAGGAAUCGUGAUACCAUGGCAGAUUGCUCAAGUAAAUUCGAGGAGAAACAGCUCAUGUGCACUUGUACCCUAGAAAUUGAAGCCAGUGUCAUGUCUGUUUUGUAGAUUAUGAUGCUGUUUUUUUGACAUAAUGAAUAAGUUUUUGAUUGUCAGAGAAAUAUAUUUUCCCUUCUUAUUCAGUCAAUGUAAUUCUUUAAAAUACAAAAUAUAAGUAACUAUAAAGAUCUCAAUUUUGUCAUACACAUUCAUCCAUAUUCGUUUCUCCCAUAUUCCGAUAUGUCUAAUAUUGUUAGUAUUAAAGAAGUCAAGAUACCACCAGUACAAUAGAGAUCUACUAAAUACUACUCAUCUAUGAAAAAGCUACUACUACCACUUAUCUAUGAGGACUGAAUGACCUGCAUACUACAAAAGUUAAGAGGCCAAUGUACCCAGGUAAAAAAUGUUCAAUAGCUGAUGCAAUAAGGAAAUAAAGAAUGUUCACUAGCUAAUGCAAUAAGGAUCAAUACCUACUAUGAAUGACAAAAUGCAGCUAAACUAUAGACAUGCAUGUAGAAAUCCAACAACUAAAAUGUCUAAAAAGAUAAAAUAAAAAAUAUAUGCCACCAAAAGAAUAGGAAACUAACGUAUACCCGGCUUAUACAUGACUGUGUUUUUCUCCUUUUUCAGCAGCCAUCGGCUGUCAUCUCCGUCACAAAUUAUACAAUUGUUGAGAAUGUCUGAAAGAACAGACGAAAAAUGAAACGAAGGUGUUAAUUAAAGAUUAUUCGGAACAAACAGAAAAGAUGAUUGAAGCUCUAAAAAUUAAAACAUCACCAGAAAAACAGAGAAUUCCCAAAAGGAAAACGAAAAGCCGAUAACAAGCAAACAAAUAAAAAUUACAAGGAAAAACAUAGAAAUACUAAGCAGAGAAAACUACAAUUGAAAACAAAAGCUGAGAGGAAAGGCAGAUUGGCAAUAGCGAAAAGUACAAUAUCUCACUAGAAAGAAGCCGGAAGCGGAAGAGGAGAACGGAGAGAAUGAGAAGAGGGUAUUUGAGAAGGGUAUUUGAGAUUUACCUUGGAGUUGUUCUGAUUUAGUAAAUAUGCAAUAUUA
rnacentral:lncRNA from 1 species